GACGUAGGGUCCAAGCGUUGUCCGGAUUUACUGGGCGUAAAGAGCGCGUAGGCGGCUUUGCAAGUUGGGUGUGAAAGCCCUCGGCUCAACCGAGGAAUUGCGCUCAAUACUGCCGAGCUCGAGAGAGACAGAGGUAAGCGGAACUAAAUGGUGGAGCGGUGAAAUGCGUUGAUAUCAUUAGGAACACCGGUGGCGAAGGCGGCUUACUGGGUCUUUUCUGACGGCUGAGGCACGAAAGCCAGGGGAGCGAACGGGAUUAGAA
rnacentral:rRNA from 1 species